CGCAGAGUGUGAGGGGCGGCGGCAACACGGCCGAGGCCGCUUCUUCUCGCGAGCCUUGCCGCCGUUGCUCCUUAGCCGCCCACGGCCCGGAGUGAAGAUCUCGCGAGGCUUGGGCGCUGCGGCGGUAGGAGGAGGACGGAGAAGGACGGAGCCUAGCUGUUGCUGCCUCCCUCGCUCACUCCUUCGCGCACUCGCCCGCCCCCUCCCUCCCUCCCCUCCCUUCCCCGGCCCCGGCUCCGGCCCCGGCCCCGGCCCAUUCGCUGUUCGGUCUUCCGCAGGGAGGAUGUCGGGCUCGUCGCUGCCCAGCGCCCUGGCCCUCUCUCUGUUGCUGGUCUCCGGCUCCCUCCUCCCAGGGCCAGGCGCCGCUCAGAACGCUGGGUUUGUCAAGUCGCCCAUGUCAGAAACUAAGCUCACUGGGGACGCCUUUGAGCUGUACUGUGACGUGGUCGGGAGCCCCACGCCAGAGAUCCAGUGGUGGUACGCAGAAGUCAACCGGGCAGAGUCUUUCAGACAGCUGUGGGACGGUGCUCGGAAGCGCCGUGUCACCGUAAACACCGCCUACGGGUCAAACGGCGUGAGUGUGCUGAGAAUAACCCGGCUCACCUUGGAGGACUCUGGGACUUACGAGUGCAGGGCCAGCAACGACCCCAAGAGGAAUGACUUGAGGCAAAAUCCCUCCAUAACAUGGAUUCGAGCCCAGGCCACCAUAAGCGUCCUUCAGAAGCCACGGAUUGUCACCAGUGAAGAGGUCAUUCUUCGAGACAGCCCUGUUCUUCCCGUCACUCUGCAGUGUAACCUCACUUCCAGCUCUCACACCCUUACAUACAGCUACUGGACAAAGAAUGGGGUAGAGCUGACUGCCACUCGCAAGAAUGCCAGCAACACGGAAUACAGGAUCAAUAAGCCGAGAGCUGAGGAUUCAGGCGAAUACCACUGUGUAUAUCACUUUGUCAGUGCUCCUAAAGCAAAUGCCACCAUUGAAGUGAAAGCUGCUCCUGACAUCACUGGCCACAAACGGAGCGAGAACAAGAAUGAAGGGCAAGAUGCCAUGAUGUAUUGCAAAUCAGUUGGCUACCCGCACCCAGAGUGGAUCUGGCGCAAGAAGGAGAAUGGUAUGCCUAUGGACAUUGUCAAUACCUCUGGCCGCUUCUUCAUCAUCAACAAGGAAAAUUAUACUGAGCUGAACAUCGUGAAUCUCCAGAUCACGGAAGACCCUGGCGAGUAUGAAUGUAAUGCUACCAACUCCAUUGGCUCUGCCUCCGUUGUCACCAUCCUCAGGGUACGGAGCCACCUGGCCCCACUCUGGCCUUUUUUGGGAAUUCUGGCUGAAAUCAUCAUCUUGGUGGUGAUCAUUGUUGUGUAUGAGAAGAGGAAGAGGCCAGAUGAAGUUCCUGAUGAUCAUCAGGCAGAUUGAGCUUGAGGAGAAUCCAAGUCAAGCCUAGAAGCCACCCCAAGAUCGCAGGCCACCUGGCCUUUCAGGCAGAUUUAAGAGUUGUCCUUGUCCCCGUGGCUGACCAGCAGGACUGCAGCCCCAACCAUGUGUGUUUGUGGAGAAUUGCUAAGGGGGGUCUGCUGCUCCCUCAGAAGUCAGGCAGCCCUGAAGGCAUGCUGGUGGCUUCAGCCUGUCUGGAAGGCCGCGUUUGAGAACAGCAGCCUCUUCCCCUCUUUUUGUUUCUUCUCAGCACCUCCAGAUCUCUGCCUGCACUAAGUAGAGGGGAGUAGUCUAGGGAGGCUGGCAAAAAGAUUUGUCGCUGACACUAACAACGCAUGUAGGGAGCGCUGGCAGACCCCCUCCCGGUGUACAUCCAGCAGUGAGCUAGACAGAGGAGUGAGGUGGACGCCAGCUGGAAGUCGAUGGGCCUGUGUGAAUAAAUGAGCUGAUUCCCUGCAACAGAAGUGUGCCCCCGGGAUUUUUACAUUCCUUCUCCUAGGUGCACAGAACUGCUGUUCUACGAGGUGAACUGCAUUCUUGGGAUUUUUCACAUAUGCAUAAUGCCUUUUUCUCUAGAUUUUUCUCUUUCCUGCUACAAAUGAGGACUCCCAAGCAAGGCAGAAUACCUGUAUUUAGGCCUGAGAGUAAAGGGAAGUUGUCUGUAUUUCUAGCACAGCUCUUUAGAAGCAGUUAUGCCUCAGUCCUGCAAAGGGCUUUUCAUCCCCUCAGAAUGCUUUUGCUUUGCUAAAUUUCACCUUGCUCAGCCUUCCCUUUGGAAAGGUGGAGAAGCAAAAAGUCAGGUAGGAAAGGGCAAAGAUGGGCUUCCGGACCUGAUUUUUUAUUUUAAGAUGAUGAGGCUGGGUGCUGCUCUCUUUGCAGAGUGAUAUGUUGGCUUAGCUGGUCUCCAUCAGAGGUUCCGGUCUUCCUCGUAGGAAGCCACUUUGUUUACCAGGUUGCUCUCCCAGCAUGUCUGGAAGACAUUUGGGUUAGAUUUGAGAAGUGGUUAGUAUUGGUUCUGACAAGUGCAGACACCUGCCCGGGGAAGUGGCUAUCUUAAAAGAGCUAGAGCUCCAUGGCUACUGAACUCAAGUGGUGGCCAGUUGAGUAGAGGAGACCUCUGUGGCCAGUAAAUCUUCUGAACAGCUUCCUGAAGGGAAGGUACUUCUUUUAAGCUAAAUUAUUAUAGACAGUGGAAGAAUCCUACAUAAAAGACGUGGGUAAGUGCAAAGUAAAAUCUCUUUGCUCUGAUCUCCUGGAAGAAAUGUAAUGCAAGCAGCGUUUACUUUUUUUGUUCUUGAAUUGGGGCAGCAGACCUGGGAUGCUGGAAUUAUUGCGGUGUUGCCUCCUCUCUGCUCCCUUCCCGACAGCCAGCGCAGCCCAGGCUCCAUUCUCCAUCUCCACUUCCCUGCCUUGCUCUGGCAUUUCCAUCCCAGAGUUUUCUCCUUUGUUCGCCUCCUCCUCUCAAACCCCUCCCUGCUCCUAUGCCCCUUUAUUUCUUGUCCUGGAAUUAAUCAUUAAAGAAAAAAAAAGUUGAUUGUUCCUCAGUGAGUUUUCCUUAUGCUGUGGCUUUUUUUCCAGCCAGUUUCCCCUCAACUCCCAUGCAUCCCUCAUAUGCUUUCUCCCCACCUACCCUGUCCCCAGGUCUACAUAUAGAGAGAUGCAGGCACUCCUUUGUGGAAUGAAUGAAGAGGUACCUUGUAUCUGAUACGAAUUGGGAGUUUUAGAGGUGAUGGAUUUUUAUCAGCCAGCCAUCUGUGGCUCUGUUGACUUAUUUGUGCCACUGUGAAAAUGGAUUUUUUUAAUAUGCCUGACAUGCUUUCUCUGCCAAAAUAGGUACUUUUUAUUAUCAAGGUAGACCUAGGAUUUAUUUUUGACUUACUGAACUUUUUCUUAUAUGAAAAAAUUUCAUAUAAAACUCAUAAUACUCAUAUUCGGGUAGUCUGUGAGUUCUUGGUAACUCAGCCCCUGACCAGAAAAGCACUAAGUGAACAGUUUAAAACUACACACCUGCACAAAUUUGAACUUAGAGAGUUUACUCCAAGUACGCUUCACCAGAAUGGCAAAGAUUGCUUUAGAUUUCUCACAUAGAAAAUGCUUAGGGUUAAGGGUUAGCUACUUCCAGUAGGGGGAGGGGGAGAAAAGGCCUCUGUGUCUUAGUCUACUGGCAUCUACUCAGAACAUUUUUAAGCAGAACUCACACUAAGUCCCUUUUAGCCCCUGCUGUGGUCUCUUUGAGGAUCGGUGCCCAGUAGAUUGGUUGUCUUCUAGAUAGAUGGUCUGCAUCUCACCUUUUACCUUCAGUGUUUUCAGGAACAGAUGAGUCAUGGAGACAAACAAGGGCUUCGUUUUUUCAGCUUACUCAUCACUUGACUACAUUCUCUGAAAAUAUUACAUGAUAAUUUUCUAAAAGGAGUGGGUCUGGCCAGCAUCCCCCUAGCCUUCCAUCCAUCCUACAGCUCACAUGCCUGGAGCAGACCUUCUGUGCUGGUUCUCUGCUGAGUGAAGCAGAGGGGUUGGUGUGUGCUUCCAAGUUCCCCCCUCCCUGCUCACCUGGGGAGAUGAGGCGGGAACCUGCCUCAUGGUUGGUGCCUUCAGUUCUACUGGAUGUUUUAGUGACCGCAGGUGAAAACAGUAGGAGCUGAUUUAAGAAAAGCAGUGGUGGCAUCAAAAAGAGUUUUCUGUUUUCACGUUAGGGAGAUAAUUUUUAUAAGCAGUUCAAAGGGACUCCUCUAAGUUACUGAUGGAGAUCUGAGGUUUUGGGGGGGCCAUUUUUAGUGGCUCUGAUGCAUUCGAACUCUUUUAGACACUCUACGAUUAAGAGGUAUUCUGACAUCCGAAAAAUCUAUCAGUUGGGAAUAUGAAGCUUUACAACAGACCAGGAAUGUUGGUAAAGAAAUGUGAUCUUUAAAAUGACAUGCAAAACACACCUUUCAUUGUCUCUUAACUAGGGGUCCUCUGAGUCCGUUACCUUAUGGAGAAAAUACAAUAGGACCAAAUAUGAAAGGAAACUGGAAGUAACUGUUAAUCAGUCUCUGGUUUAAUGCUAAUCUGCUGAGAUGAGGCAAAAUGUAAGCAGGUUUAGAAACUAUAAAAGCCCAUCCUCCGUGAGAUGAAGGCAGUGAACAAGGAGCUUUGACCAGACAGGCCCCUCUUGGUCAUUCUGACUGGAAAGCCAUCUUUUUGGAGGUGCUACCAUGUCAGGUAACCCGUUCUUUAGCGGGCAUCGCAGAGCACUCUUCCUGAUGACACGGCCAUGUGAUCUAGGGGAGUGAGGGCUGGAGUACGUCUGUUGGGAAGACAGCAAUUCCACCAGGAACUUCACUCUCCUGAGGUGGAUUCCAGAAGCAUCUUGUUUCCCUUCUCCCCAGUCCUCUUCCUCUCAUCUAGCCAGUGGUUGUGAGUAAUGCCUAGGUGAAGAGAGGAGCCCUUGUUUAAGCAGCUACCUUUUGGCCUGAGGGUUUGGGGUAUGUUGAUAUUUGUCGGUUACUAUGACUUCUUUUUUUUCCCCCCUCAAUUGCAUCAAACCCUUAAAACAUGGUGACGAUGAACCAGCUGGGCCAAUGAAAACCAACUCUACCAACAAUCACAAAGAUAAAAACUUGCGCCAGAGAAACACAAAUUAAAUACUGCUUACAAUAUCUUUAGGUUCCUGAAACUGGUGGCAACAUGAUCUGCUAAAUUUUCUGCUUGGACCUCUUUGGUUCUCUCCCCUUUUAAGUGAGCAGCACCACAAAUGACUGUCUAAAGCAUGCCUUAUUUAGCCUUUCCUGUAAGGGUGAUCUAGUCAGGUACAUUUUAAACAAUGCUUCAGUGUAGAAGGUGUAAACUAUUUGGGGCUUGAUGUGCUGUGAAUGUUGCUUUUUUUCCCCCCUUUGUUAAAAUAUUUAAGUAGAAGUGAAAAGGUCCUCUGAGGAUCGGAUCAUGCAUGCGCCAUUUUUUACUUAAUGCAGCUGUUAAAUUGGCAAAGCUCUAAAAUGCACUGCUGCCAUCUAGUGAUAACAUUUUUGUAAAGUACAGCAAAACCUACAGAUAUAUACAGUAUAUAAAUAUAUAUAUAUAUAUAUUUAUAUUUUUGGGGGUGGGAGAAAUCCAAAAUAAAAUAAAUGCUUGUUUCAUUUUUUAGCUGCUGAUAUUCAUUCCUUACUGUAUGUUGUCAGAUGAGGAGAUUGUGCAGUUCUGGUACAUAAAGAUGAGUAAUAUAAACUGAAAUCUAUAAUUUUAAGGGCUUAACCUAUGACUUUGAUAAAAAGCUGGAACACUCCACUGAAUGGAUAUAUUGAAUUGCAGUAUAUAUGUAUGAUUGCUUUUUAAGUGAUUAUUUUUUCUUCUGUUAAAUCAUGUAAAUUCUUAAAUCCUUUUGCACUGAUGUGUUGAACCUUAUUGUACAUUCAAUUAAGGCAAACUUUUAUAAUUUACCUUUUGUUUUCAAUGACCUUGAAAUGUUAUAGCAUGGUAUUCUAUGCAACUAGUUAUCCUCUGGGGUUGACACUGUAUUUUUCACAUUGAUUUAAAACAGUUGAGUGUAGAUUUUCUCACCCGGCAGGGUUCUCAUGCGGUGUGUAACCGUAGAUGCAUGUACUUGUGUUCUGUGUAAGUGUUGAAGUGCAAUGAUGUAUAAAAAAGUGGAUUCACUGUUUUUAAAAAUAAAACAUUGAUAAAAGGUG